GAAAUGCGAUACGUAAUGCGAAUUGCAGAAUUCCGCGAAUCAUCCAAUCUUUGAACGCAUAUGGCACUUGCAUGCACAAUGCAAGUACGCCUAUUGGAGCACGUUUUCUUUUAUCUCUCUUUAUACUUAUUGUAUCAAAGUAGAGGAUGUGUUUGUUUAUCUUCUUUACGAAAAUAAUCAAAUGAAAUCUAAUUGGCACUAUAUUCAUGUUUUUAAUGAAUAUAAUGAUUGGUAAUUCAAGUCUUAACAAACUUGAUCCAUCCUUAUAUUUCAACAUGUGAUAUAUCCACUUCAUCUACAAUAUUAAAACCAUAACGUCUCCAAUAGACGAGAGAACCCGCUGAACUUAA
rnacentral:misc_RNA from 1 species